CAAUAGCGUAUAUUUAAGUUGUUGCAGUUAAAAAGCUCGUAGUUGGAUUUCGGUUAAGAGCGACCGGUCCGCCGUUUGGUGUGCACUGGUUGGUUUUAACUUCCUGUAGAGGACGUGCUCUGGGUUUAACGACCUGGACUCGGAGUCUACGUGGUUACUUUGAAAAAAUUAGAGUGUUCAAAGCGGGCUUACGCUUGAAUAUUUCAGCAUGGAAUAACACUAUAGGACUCCUGUCCUAUUUCGUUGGUCUCGGGACGGGAGUAAUGAUUAAGGGGAACAGUUGGGGGCAUUCGUAUUUCAUUGUCAGAGGUGAAAUUCUUGGAUUUAUGAAAGACGAACUUCUGCGAAAGCAUUUGCCAAGGAUGUUUUCAUUA
rnacentral:rRNA from 1 species